UAAAAACUUGCUGGUUUUACGGCUCAGGGGGCAUCACGGAACCUGCCGACAUGUGAUGUCUCCCCCGGACACCCAGCUUUAAAAUUUCUCUCUUGUACUCUUUCCCUUUAUUUCUAGACCGGCCAACACUUAGAGAAAUAGAAAAGAACCUAUGUGAAAUAUCGGGGGCUGGUUUCCCCUGAUAGUGAAGGAGACAGGUUAGAUACACUGGAGCUUCCACACAGGAGAGAGGGAAGGAGCUGGAGAAGAAGGUGAGUUGGAAGAUUUGGGGGUUUUGUUUUUAAGUGAGAGAGCUUUGAAUAGGUUUAAUGCUGAUGGUGGGGAUCCAGUUAAGAGAAACACUGAAAAUUAACUAGAGGGAAAGGUAACUGACAGUAUAGAGUUCCUAAGAACCCAAGCAGUAAAUUCUAGCCUAGCUGGGGGUGGAGUGUGAAGAAGUGAAGAACCUUUUUUAUUUUUUUUUUAAUGGGCUGGGUGUGAAGCUACAUUUGUAGUUUUGUGGCAGGAAGUUCCCUUACUGUAACUUCUAUAUUUUCUGUGAAGCAGAAGACAAGAACUCUGUUCAAAGUUAGGGAGAUGAUAGAUUGAGGGCUAGAAGAGUAAGGCAGGCUUGAAACAAUCAUUGUCACGAAUGGGAGUUGACCAGAGAUUAGUAACGUUGCUGGGCCAUGUGUAGGGGCCCAUUUGAAACCAGCGAUUACAAAUGUGCAGUGGUUCCAGGCCGUGCGGCUGUGUGAAUCUACCUGAUGACCCUCGGCUGCUUGGGUACUGCCAUGGAUAGCGCAUGUGUUGGCUUUGUCCAGCUUUGGGCUUUUUCCCACAUUGAUUUUAAAAAGACAGGAGCCACAGAUUUUGGAGUACUGCAAAAUGACUUUCCAAAUUGAUGAACCAUGGACUCCAAGCUGGAUAGACACAGAAAUGAAAAGAAGGGACUAAUAGGGAAUAAGACGUGUGAUCCAUGGCCCGAUGGCCCUGAUGGACGUGAAGAUCCACUGUUGUGGGAGGAGUGGAACACUAACACUGAAUGAUGGAGGCUGUGGUCAGAAACAGUAGCUGAAUAUAACUGGCCAGUGCAGAAGAGCCUAUGAAGGUGGAAAAUGGAGGAAGGAGGACCCCAUGCUGGAGAAGUGAUGGAGAUUUGAAGCCUUGGAAGAUGGCGGCAAGGGAGAUGCCAGAGAUGAGACAAUGUUAAACAUCUGUAAUCUAACAGUCUUCUAUGGGAGUUUAUUACAUUUCCAUAUCCUAUGUUCACUUCUAGUGAAAAAUAAAAAUAAAAUCUUAAGCCCCCCACAGCUGACUAAAUGGAUCCCAUUGUGAAAGGAAAAUAUCUUGAGCCUCCAAAAUCACUAAGGAAAAUUCAAGCUGGAAACUUCUUAGGACAAACCUGCCUCCCAUUCUCUUCAAAGUUAUUCCUCUGCUCGAGGAGCUAGAUGCAUAUCUGAUUGCCGCCUUUGGAAAGGCUAACCAGAAACUCAAAAGAAUGAUACAGUUUGUUAUCACCUACCUGUGACCUGGAAGCUCCCUCCCUCCCCACUUGAGUCUUCCUGCUUUUGUUUCAAGCUGUCCUGCCUUUCCAGACCAAACCAAUGUACUUCUUACGUAUAUUGAUUGAUGUCUCACUCAUGUCUCCCUAAAUCGUAUAAAACCAAGCUGUGCCCCAACUACCCUGGGCAUGUGUCAUCAGGAUUUCAUGAAGCUGUGUCACGGGCGCAUUCCCCAACCUUGAAAAAAUAAACUUUCUAAAUUAACUGAGACCUGUCUCAGAUUUUCUGGGUUCACAUUGUUUUCGUCAAGGGGACUCCCCAAGUAACUUUGAAAACUGAGUUCUAGGCUGUGAGGGGAUGGGAGGUCAGAGGUCAGACGCACCUUGCUGCACACCUCCACCUCGCUAACCCCCUUAGGCUUUCUUCCCUAGGGGCUAAACAGAAACCAGCUCUUUCCUUUUUUUUUUUUCUUUUUUUUUAGAGACGAGUCUUGCUCUGUCACCCAGGCUGGAGUGCAGUGGUUCGAUUUUGGCUCACUGCAACCACCACCUCCCAGGUUCAAGCAAUUCUCCUGCCUCAGCUUCCCAAGUAACUGCAACUACAAGCACAUGCCACCAUGCCCGGCUAAUUUCUUUUGUAUUUUUAGUAGAGAUGGGGUUUCACCAUGUUGCCCGGGCUGGUCUUGAACUCCUGAGCUCAGGCAAUCUGUCCGCCUCAGCCUCCCAAAGUGCUAGGAUUACAGGCAUGAGCCACUGCACCCAGCCAAAACCAGCUCUUUCAAAAGACUCCAGUGCUGAUAUCAACAACUGCCUGAGGCUUCCCCACCCUUUUGCAGUUUCCACAUAACAAUUAACCAGCAUUCCCUCCUGAUAAGAGACAACACCCCGCCCGCCGACGCAGAGCGGUUCUGGCCAGUCUUCAGAGGCUGCACACAGAGAGCCUGCGUGUCCCUGCUUUGUCUUUCGAUGUAAAAGGCCUAACUGUCAUGCAUUGAAAUGUGAAGUCUCCAGCCCAAAGUGAACAUGGGACACAUGCUGCAUGCAUGUUAGCCUGCUACACAUGCAUGAUCCUCUUCAUGAAUAUUCAUAGCUCCUCCUGUAAUCUGUUGAAUAUGUAUACUUAGCCAAC
rnacentral:lncRNA from 1 species